GACAAAGCCUCAACCUCCGGCUGCUGUGAGAGGCACAUUCCCAGGACGAGAAAUGACCUCCAGCUGCAGGAGAGCCUGUGAGGCCUCCCUGGCUAGACUGUGAGCUCCCUGAAGAUGAGGAAACUGACACCCAGGGAGGGAACGUGGCUGACCCAGGGACACACUGCUGACCAAAGCCCCAGAAAUCUUUCAAUCCAGCGUCUCAAGAAGAAACAAACCACCGGGCGAUGUUGUAAGAGGAUUUUGACCUGAGACGUAAUGGGGGACAGGAUCUCUCACUCUGGCCUGGAACUCUUCCUGCCUCGGUUUGCUUUGAGUGCUGGUGGUCUCCACAAAGAUCUUAAACCCCACCAUUCACAUCUCUGAAUCUCCCACAGCAUCUAGCAGAGCACCAGUGUAUUUAUCGAAGUACAUGCUUGAUAAAAUAACGGAUGAA